ACGCUAGCGGGAGGCCUAACACAUGCAAGCCGAGCGGUAUUGUUUCUUCGGAAAUGAGAGAGCGGCGUACGGGUGCGGAACACGUGUGCAACCUGCCUUUAUCUGGGGGAUAGCCUUUCGAAAGGAAGAUUAAUACCCCAUAAUAUAUUGAAUGGCAUCAUUUAAUAUUGAAAACUCCGGUGGAUAGAGAUGGGCACGCGCAAGAUUAGAUAGUUGGUGAGGUAACGGCUCACCAAGUCAAUGAUCUUUAGGGGGCCUGAGAGGGUGAUCCCCCACACUGGUACUGAGACACGGACCAGACUCCUACGGGAGGCAGCAGUGAGGAAUAUUGGACAAUGGGUGAGAGCCUGAUCCAGCCAUCCCGCGUGAAGGACGACGGCCCUAUGGGUUGUAAACUUCUUUUGUAUAGGGAUAAACCUUUCCACGUGUGGAAAGCUGAAGGUACUAUACGAAUAAGCACCGGCUAACUCCGUGCCAGCAGCCGCGGUAAUACGGAGGGUGCAAGCGUUAUCCGGAUUUAUUGGGUUUAAAGGGUCCGUAGGCGGGCUCGUAAGUCAGUGGUGAAAUCUCAUAGCUUAACUAUGAAACUGCCAUUGAUACUGCGACCCUUGAGUAAGGUAGAGGUAGCUGGAAUAAGUGGUGUAGCGGUGAAAUGCAUAGAUAUUACUUAGAACACCAAUUGCGAAGGCAGGUUACCAUGUCUUAACUGACGCUGAUGGACGAAAGCGUGGGGAGCGAAC
rnacentral:rRNA from 1 species